GACGAACGUUGGCGGCGUGCUUAAUACAUGCAAGUCAACUGAAGCAGUGGUAGCAAUAUCGCUGUGGAGGUGGCGCACGGGUGAGUAACACGUAGGUAAUCUGCCUUCAGGUCUGGCAUAACUCCGGGAAACCGGGGCUAAUAGCAGAUGAUGCAGCGGCUCGACAUCGAGACAGUUGUUAAAGCUAUGGCGCCUGAAGAUGAGCCUGCGUCUGAUUAGCUAGUUGGCGGGGUAACGGCCCACCAAGGCAACGAUCAGUAGCUGGUCUGAGAGGAUGAUCAGCCACACUGGAACUGAGACACGGUCCAGACUCCUACGGGAGGCAGCAGUAAGGAAUAUUGCUCAAUGGGAGAAAUCCUGAAGCAGCAACGCCGCGUGAGGGACGAGGGGCUUUUGCUUGUAAACCUCUGUAGUGAGAGAAAAAAAUCCCAAUCUUUGGACAUGAUGGUAUCUCAAAAGUAAGCCCCGGCUAACUACGUG
rnacentral:rRNA from 1 species